rnacentral:rRNA from 1 species
CCUACGGGGGGCAGCAGUGAGGAAUAUUGGUCAAUGGACGAGAGUCUGAACCAGCCAAGUAGCGUGAAGGAUGACUGCCCUAUGGGUUGUAAACUUCUUUUAUAUGGGAAUAAAACGUUCCACGUGUGGGAUUUUGUAUGUACCAUAUGAAUAAGGAUCGGCUAACUCCGUGCCAGCAGCCGCGGUAAUACGGAGGAUCCGAGCGUUAUCCGGAUUUAUUGGGUUUAAAGGGAGCGUAGGUGGAUUGUUAAGUCAGUUGUGAAAGUUUGCGGCUCAACCGUAAAAUUGCAGUUGAAACUGGCAGUCUUGAGUACAGUAGAGGUGGGCGGAAUUCGUGGGGUAGCGGUGAAAUGCUUAGAUAUCACGAAGAACUCCGAUUGCGAAGGCAGUUCACUGGACUGCAACUGACACUGAGGCUCGAAAGUGUGGGUAUCAAACAGGAUUAGAUACCCGUGUAGUC